CUGACUUUGAAUAGUAAUAUGGUGCCUUCUCAUGAUAUUAAUGGACUUAUUCUUAAUUUUCAGACAGUCAAUGACACUCAGCUCCACUCAAUUCCACUCUAUCCAUGUAUAUGUGAGGAGGCGUUUGUUCAAAACCUUAAAAGAUCCAUCAAGUUAAUAAUCAAUACAAACCAUCAGGAUCAUUUGUACAACAUCAUAAACAUAUUGAACUCUCAUCCUUCCCCUAACACUGAGGAAUUAACAACAACCUGUGAGGAAAACGUCAUCAGAAAACGGAGAUGCUCUGGGGCAUGUACGGUCAUGGUUUAUAUAAACUCUAGCAUCAGUUUUAUCCAAAAGUGGAACAAGUUCAACUGCAAAAAGAAUGGUGCACACAGAACUAAGGCACAACAUAAACAGUAACUAAUCAGACAUCUAUUGGAAUGUUACCUGAUGGGAAUGACACAUUUGUUUAUUUAUUUAUUUAAAUGAGAUGUCACUUGUUUUGUACUUUAUUUAUUUGUCCAGCAAUUUAUUUAUUAUGCCGGUUUUAUUCAUUAUUUAUUAUUGUUAAUUUAUUUAAUCAGCGUGUCGGCUGUUUGUUGGAACAGGUUUUAAUGGUUAAAAUGUUAAUGUUAUUAUCUUCAUCGCUAGAAGAAAAUCUUUAUCAACACUAGACAUCAGAAAACGGAGAUUCUCUAGGGUGUGCACGGUCAAGGUUUAUAUAAACUCUAGCAUCAAUUUGAUCAAAAAGUUGAACAAGUCCAACUGCAUACUAAACAGUGAAUACAGAACUAAGGCACAACAUAAACAGUAACUAAUCAGACAUCUAUUGGAAUGUUACCUGAUGUGAAUGACACAUUUGUUUAUUUAUUUAUUUAAAUGAGAUGUCACUUGUUUUUGUACUUUAUUUAUUUGUCCAGCAAUUUAUUUAUUUAUGCCGGUUUUAUUAAUUAUCUAUUAUUGUUA